GAUGAAGAACGUAGCAAAAUGCGAUUAGUAAUGUGAAUUGCAGAAUUCAGUGAAUCAUCGAAUCUUUGAACGCACAUUGCGCCCGCCAGUAUUCUGGCGGGCAUGCCUGUUCGAGCGUCAUUUCAACCCUCAAGCACAGCUUGGUGUUGGGACUCGCGUUAAUUCGCGUUCCCCAAAUUGAUUGGCGGUCACGUCGAGCUUCCAUAGCGUAGUAGUAAAACCCUCGUUACUGGUAAUCGUCGCGGCCACGCCGUUAAACCCCAACUUCUGAAUGUUGACCUCGGAUCAGGUAGGAAUACCCGCUGAACUUAAGCAUAUCAAUAAGCGGAGGA
rnacentral:misc_RNA from 1 species